GGGCCCGCACAAGCGGUGGAGCAUGUGGUUUAAUUCGAUGCAACGCGAAAAACCUUACCAGGCCUUGACAUCCAGAGAACUUACCAGAGAUGGUUCGGUGCCUUCGGGAACUCUGUGACAGGUGUUGCAUGGCUGUCGUCAGCUCGUGUCGUGAGAUGUUGGGUUAAGUCCCGUAACGAGCGCAACCCUUAUCCUUACUUGCCAGCACGUAAUGGUGGGAACUUUAAGGAGACUGCCGGUGACAAACCGGAGGAAGGAGAGGAUGAUGUCAAGUCAUCAUGGCCCUUACGGCCUGGGCUACACACGUGCUACAAUGGGAAGUACAAAGGGUCGCAAUACCGCGAGGUGGAGCAAAUCCCAAAAAACUUUUCGUAGUCCGGAUUGGAGUCUGCAACUCGACUCCAUGAAGUCGGAAUCGCUAGUAAUCG
rnacentral:rRNA from 1 species